UGCAAGACAAUGAUGAGAAUUAGUAUGUCUUUUAAGGAUGUUAUAGCGAGUCAGAGAAGGUGAAAGUCUGAUACAUUCCCGUAGACUGAAUGGAUCUCAGAGUCGUAAUCUGAACACGCUAAGCGUCAGUAGGUGCUACCGGGGGUUUCCCGUUACAGAAACACGGAUAUCGAGAGACCGACUCUCCGCAUCUGCUUAAUUAUGCACGAGAAUCGCAUCCUUCUCCGUAUCUAAGCUUGAAGUAUAGGCACUACAAUGUAGAUCCCAUACGAAAAAGGUGGCAUAAUGGAAAUUAACUUUCCGUCCUUUAC
rnacentral:ncRNA from 1 species